CGGCACGCCUUAUACAUGCAAGUCGAACGAAGUAGCAAUACUUAGUGGCAGACGGGUGAGUAACAUGUAGGUAUCUUCCCUUUGGUGAGGAAUAACACGAGGAAACUUGUGCUAAUACCUCAUAAGUCUUUACGGAGAAAGCUUUAUGCGCCGAAGGAUGAGCCUGCACUUGAUUAGUUUGUUGGUGGGGUAAUGGCCUACCAAGACUUUGAUCUAUAGCUGAUCUGAGAGGAUGAUCAGCCACAUUGGGACUGAGACACGGCCCAAACUCCUACGGGAGGCAGCAGUAGGGAAUAUUGCACAAUGGAGGAAACUCUGAUGCAGCGAUGCCGCGUGAGUGAAGAAGGCCUUUGGGUUGUAAAGCUCUUUCGUCGGGGAAGAAAAUGACUGUACCCGAAUAAGAAGGUCCGGCUAACUUCGUGCCAGCAGCCGCGGUAAUACGAAGGGACCUAGCGUAGUUCGGAAUUACUGGGCUUAAAGAGUUCGUAGGUGGUUAAAAAAGUUGGUGGUGAAAUCCCAGAGCUUAACUCUGGAACUGCCAUCAAAACUUUUUAGCUAGAGUAUGAUAGAGGAAAGCAGAAUUUCUAGUGUAGAGGUGAAAUUCGUAGAUAUUAGAAAGAAUACCAAUUGCGAAGGCAGCUUUCUGGAUCAUUACUGACGCUGAGGAACGAAAGCAUGGGUAGCGAAGAGGAUUAGAUACCCUCGUAGUCCAUGCCGUAAACGAUGUGUGUUAGACGUUGGAAAUUUAUUUUCAGUGUCGCAGCGAAAGCAUUAAACACACCGCCUGGGGAGUACGACCGCA
rnacentral:rRNA from 1 species